AAUGGAUGUUUUACUUGCUAUGCUUUUUGUCACUUAAUAAAGGUGAAAUAGACCAGAGGAGCCAUUCUGUCACCAACACAGCAUCACUGCAGCUGAGCUUACAGUUGGUCUGCUGGAGAACCUGUAGGUUCUGGGGUCCUUGAGGACGCUGCAUCUACCUGCAGCAGGCAAAUACAGUCCCUUCCCUUAAUCCCUUAAGCUCAGCAACGAAGUUUUGUUUCAAGCACCUGGAAGGCAAGAACAGACAUUCUUCCAUUUUUCUUCAAACAGUAAAUGCUGGAUGAAGCUCCAUAACAGAAUAUAUUGGCUGCUGCUCCUGCUUUGCUCCAUGAAGUUGCAUGAUCUUCAUAUGUUUCCUGACCACUGCACAAAGAUAUUCCUUCUCUGUGACACCUCUGAGAAGUCAUUCUCUAUCACUGUUGUGUGGGAAUUACUACCUAAGGAAUCAGAAAAUUCAUUUCCAAUGAAUGGGACGGCCUAAAUCUUCAUAAACUCUGUGAACUUUGCAAGAGUAACAGAUGCAGUUGAAUGUCUGGAUGUCUCACAACUUGGUACAUCCAAGUUUAGGAUAUGUUCUUAGGUGAAAAUCCACUAAUAUAAUAGUAGGAAAUUAUUUAGCUAUAGGUACCUAGAGCUGUUUCCUUUUUGGACUACAAAAGUUAACAGUGAUGGCAAGAAACCUGUCAUGCCUUUAAUUUGCUUUAAAAAUAAAACACUCCUCCCUACCUUUUAAUAACACUAUAGCCUGUGCACUUUCCAAAGUUCUAUAAACGGCCUUAAAAAGAGAACUCUGAAUCUGUGAAAUGUGGCAAGUUGACUUAACAUCUGGAAGUACUCUCGGGGCUUUUCACGAGACAGUGAAAAACUGGGCUGUGUGAUUUCUUGAUAUUCAUGCAAGGAAUAUCCAGUAGCAUCAUUGAUAGUUAA